UACGAAGGGGGCGAGCGUUGUUCGGAAUUACUGGGCGUAAAGGGCGUGUAGGCGCUCCUUUUGUCGCGUGUGAAAGCCCCGGGCUCAACCUGGGAAUUGCGCGCGAAACGGGGGGGGCUUGAGUUCGGGAGAGGAGCGUGGAAUUCCCAGUGUAGAGGUGAAAUUCGUAGAUAUUGGGAAGAACACCGGUGGCGAAGGCGGCGCUCUGGACCGAGACCUG
rnacentral:rRNA from 1 species